CACGUAGGGUGCGAGCGUUGUCCGGAAUUAUUGGGCGUAAAGAGCUCGUAGGCGGUGUGUCGCGUCGGCCGUGAAAACCUGCAGCUUAACUGUGGGCUUGCGGUCGAUACGGGCAUCACUGGAGUUCGGCAGGGAGACUGGAAUUCCUGGUGUAGCGGUGAAAUGCGCAGAUAUCAGGAGGAACACCGGUGGCGAAGGCGGGUCUCUGGGCCGGUACUGACGCUGAGGUGCGAAAGCGUGGGGAGCAAACAGG
rnacentral:rRNA from 1 species